rnacentral:rRNA from 1 species
CCUACGGGAGGCAGCAGUGAGGAAUAUUGGUCAAUGGACGAGAGUCUGAACCAGCCAAGUAGCGUGAAGGAUGACUGCCCUAUGGGUUGUAAACUUCUUUUAUAUGGGAAUAAAACGUUCCACGUGUGGGAUUUUGUAUGUACCAUAUGAAUAAGGCUCGGCUAACUCCGUGCCAGCAGCCGCGGUAAUACGGAGGAUCUGAGCGUUAUCCGGAUUUAUUGGGUUUAAAGGGAGCGUAGGUGGAUUGUUAAGUCAGUUGUGAAAGUUUGCGGCUCAACCGUAAAAUUGCAGUUGAAACUGGCAGUCUUGAGUACAGUAGAGGUGGGCGGAAUUCGUGGUGUAGCGGUGAAAUGCUUAGAUAUCACGAAGAACUCCGAUUGCGAAGGCAGUUCACUGGACUGCAACUGACACUGAGGCUCGAAAGUGUGGGUAUCAAACAGGAUUAGAUACCCUUGUAGUC